GGAUGUGAGGGCAGUGGCUGUGAUAUCUUCAGCCAAUUGAUCACUGUGGUUGAUGUGUCUGAUCUGUCCACAUCCUCCCUCACCUCUCCAUGCACAUCCUUCUUCACAUGGCUUGUCAGCUAAAGAGGAUAACCUCCCUGAUAGGGGAGGGCCAGUCUUUGGUCAGAGUCAAGGAUAUACAAGCAGCUGCAUGCUCCUGAUGGAGCUUCCAAAUACGCUGUCAAGGAGAGCUUCCGAAGCACAGCCUCGUAGCCCACAGAACACACUUUCUGU
rnacentral:snRNA from 1 species